AAACGUAUAAGGUGUCAAACCUUUAACAAUAUAGGUUACUCAACUUCCUUCAUUUAUUUAAAAAUAAUAGAGAAAGACUCAAAAUUGAGCCCUCCUCCCUCAAACCUCAACACAUUAUCAAUCAUCACUACCACCAUCGUGCCUCCACACAUGCCGCCACUGCCACCUUUACCGCCACUUCAGUCACCACCUUCUCACCACUUUAUUUUUGGUAAAGUUUCAUGUCUUGUUAUUGAUAUUAAAGUUAGGGUUUUAUCAAUUUGGGGUUUUUGAGUUGAAUCUCAAUUGGGUUUAUAGAAUCAAGUUAGGGUUUCUGAUUUUGGAAAAAAUUAGUGAAUUGAAGUUCCAUUGGGAGAUAAUGAAGUUGAUCAUUGAAGAGGUGAUUCAUCCAUGGUUUUCAAAAAGCUUAUAUAUCAAGUUUUAAUGGAGAUUUGCUCAUAAAAGAGGUUGUUAGAAAGUCUUUUAGUUGGAAUAAUUGAAGUAGUAUCAAGAAGGAGCCAUUUUGAGGUCCAGGAAAAUAGCCAUUGAAGAACUAGCAAUUGAAGUGGAUUUUUGGUUUGUGAUUUUCAAGUUUUGUGUGACUUUGUGGAAAUUAAACUUGUUCAAAGUUUCAAAAAUUGAUGAACAUAAUGAAGUUGAAUAUGCCGAUGGAAUUACUUUACGUAAAUAUGAAGUGUUUGGGAAGAUGAAGAUAUAUCUUGUACUGAAACAGUGACUUGUCAUUGCUUAACAAUCCUACAUAACCAUUCUAUAUCUAAGAUUCCUGAGAAGUACAUAUUACCUUGUUGGACCAAGCAUGCUAAGAAGGAAGUGUAGGAGAAAAUAUUCAACGAUACAAACAAAUGUCUUGAAGACGACAACAAUGCACAUUAAAAGAUCGUAACCUUACAACGGAGGCAUGAUAUGGAUCGCAAAUUCUAUAAUCUUGUUCUUAAAACAUAACAUGAUGAAGAUGCAAGAAAGAUUGUUGAGGGUUUUUAUGCAAAGGCGUGUGACUCUUUCAAAAACUCUACAAUGCAAGAAAAUUCAAUACAAGAAUGUCAGUCACAAAAAAAUAUUGAUAAUUAUAGACAUAUUAUGCUUGAUCCUGAAAAGUCCGUAACAAAGGGGAGAAGAAAGAGAAUUAAAGGUCAUUUUGAGAAGAAAAAACAGUCAACAACAAAGAUAAACAAAGAUAAAGGAGUUUGGUUCCAUAACACCAAACAAACACAUUAUAUGAUUUAUGUUUAAAAGCUUCUUUAUGACUAUUUGAUAAUUGAUUUUUAAUGCCAAUUUACAGUAUUCU